AAAGGAGCUGUGGACUGUAUAGAAGAGAGAAUGCCGGAAUGAGUAGCGAGAGGAAGGUGAGAAUCCUUCCGGCCGAAUAUCUAAGGUUUCCAGAGUAAAGCUGAUCUGCUCUGGGUAAGUCGGGGCCUAAGGCCAGGUCGAAAGACGUAACCGAUGGACAACAGGUUGAAAUUCCUGUACCGCGAUAUAACAGAACUGUGGGGACACGUGUGGAGAGCACAAGCCGGGAAUGGAAAGCCCGGCGCAAGCAAGGUAGGAGUCGUACCGGCAAAUCCGUACGGCAAUCCGAAGAUGUGAUGCGUACCGAAUUAAGAGUAGGGAAGAGUGUGAGCCAUGCGUCAAGAAAAGCCGCUAUUGUUUGUAUCGCGCCCGUACCGUAACCGACACAGGUGGAUGAGGAGAGAAUCCUAAGGCCGACGGGAGAAGCAUUGUUAAGGAACUCGGCAAAAUGACUCCGUAACUUCGGGAGAAGGAGUGCCACUGAGAGGUGGCCGCAGAGAAUUGGCCCAAGCAACUGUUUAGCAAAAACACAGGUCUAUGCAAAACCGAAAGGUGAAGUAUAUGGGCUGACGCCUGCCCGGUGCUGGAAGGUUAAGGGGAGAGGUUAGCGCAAGCGAAGCUUUGAACUAAGCCCCAGUAAACGGCGGCCGUAACAAUAACGGUCCUAAGGUAGCGAAAUUCCUUGUCGGGUAAGUUCCGACCCGCACGAAAGGCGUAAUGAUUUGGGCACUGUCUCAACAAUGCACCCGGUGAAAUUGAAAUACCAGUGAAGAUGCUGGUUACCUGCGCCAGGACGGAAAGACCCCAUGGAGCUUUACUCCAGCUUGAUACUGGGAUUCGGUAUUGCAUGUACAGGAUAGGUGGGAGGCUAAGAAGCGGUAACGCCAGUUGCCGUGGAGCUGUUGUUGGGAUACCACCCUUGCAGUACUGGGUUUCUAACCAGCGGCCUUAAACAGGUCGGGGGACAAUGUCAGGUGGGGAGUUUGACUGGGGCGGUCGCCUCCGAAAGGGUAUCGGAGGCGCUCAAAGGUUCCCUCAGAAUGGUCGGAAACCAUUCGAAGAGUGCAAAGGCAGAAGGGAGCUUGACUGCGACACCGACGGGUGGAGCAGGUACGAAAGUAGGACUUAGUGAUCCGGUGGUAUAAAGUGGGAUUGCCAUCGCUCAACGGAUAAAAGCUACCCUGGGAUAACAGGCUUAUCACUCCCAAGAGUUCACAUCGACGGAGUGGUUUGGCACCUCGAUGUCGGCUCAUCGCAUCCUGGGGCUGAAGUAGGUCCCAAGGGUUGGGCUGUUCGCCCAUUAAAGCGGUACGCGAGCUGGGUUCAGAACGUCGUGAGACAGUUCGGUCCCUAUCCGGCGUGGGCGUAGGAUAUUUGAGAGGAGCUGUCCUUAGUACGAGAGGACCGGGAUGGACUGGCCGCUGGUUGAUCUGUUGUUCCGCCAGGAGCAUAGCAGAGUAGCCAAGCCGGGACGGGAUAAAUGCUGAAGGCAUCUAAGCGUGAAGCCCCCCUCAAGAUGAGAUAUCCCAACGAAAGUUGUAAGAUCCCUUGAAGACGACGAGGUAGAUAGGACAGAGGUGGAAGUGUGGUAACACAUGGAGCUGACUGUUACUAAUAGGUCGAGGGCAUAACC
rnacentral:rRNA from 1 species